rnacentral:lncRNA from 1 species
CUCGACCCAGCAUUGAUAAGGAGAGGGAGGAUGGACAAACACAUCGAGCUUUCCUACUGUAGAUUUGAAGCAUUCAAGGUAUAGUUAAUUUGGUACUCACAUUAAUUGGACAUGAUCAAAUAUUAUCUUAUGAGUUUUGAUCAUUAAUUAAACAGGUUCUUGCUUACAACUAUCUUGAUAUCAACAACCAUCCUUUGUUCACUGAGGUGGAGAAUCUGAUGGCGGAAGUCAAGAUCACGCCGGCUGAUGUUGCUGAGAAUUUAAUUCCAAAGCGUCGAAUAGAUAAAGAGGAGGACGCCACGAUUUGUCUUAAGAACCUGAUUCAAGCUCUUAUCGACUGUAAGGCUAAUCCGAUCGUUGACGAUCCAGAACCAGACGAAGAUGACGAUGGAGAUGAGGAUGUGGAGAAAAAAGAAGAAGGUACAAUUAAGAAGGAAGAUGAAGUUAGAGAUCAAAAUAAAGAAUGAUAUAGAAACAUAGAAGAUAUUCUUAUCAGUGGAGGAUCCAAUGAACUGAUGAAGGAGGGCAUUUUCUUAUAUUUUGAAAAAUAAAAUGAUACCGUUUGCUGUUUUUUUUGUCUUGUUUUAUCGGUGCAGGUCCAGCAUUUUUUUAAAAUUAGUUUAUACAUUUUUCGUCUGUUUGUGAGACAUUUGAAUAAGUCCAGCAACCCUAC